rnacentral:lncRNA from 1 species
CCAGACAUGUUCCCUGUAUGAUUAAGAACACUUGGUUUUCCUAAAUAUACUAUGUGUGAUUGCCAUUUAAUCAUAAGGUUAACUAUUUGAUUUAACAAUUUGUCAUGUUUAAACUUUAAAAUACUUGCAAAGAGUGAAAGGGAUAUGAAGGAGCGUCGGAUGAGAAUCAUUUGUCUAAGGUAAGCUCAAAUUACCCUCUUUUGUCCAUUAACUUAUAAAAAUUAAUGUUUAGAAUAAUGUCUUUUUUAUGUUUGAUGAAGUACCUUCUUAGUAAUAGGUAAGGUAAUGUGUAAUUUUUGUGUUUUAGACAUUCCUUUAUUCUUUUGUAUGUUGGAACUAGAGCCAACAAAUAUGGUGGCUUCUAGGGUGAGGGCUCUAUCAAGUCCCUCACCGGUGUACCAUUUAACUUAACCGUUAGAUUAGUCAAGUGUAUAUUAUACAAUUAGACAUUACCACACUGGAUCAAAGCCUUUCUUUACAUUCAUGUAAUUUUGUGUGUAAUUCUCUCUUUUGGUUAUUGUUUUGGUCUAAUUAAAACGUGUUGUAUGCCCGUGUUGUUUAAUUUCCAUGUAUAACAGAGUGUGUUAAUUCAAGGAGAGGUGUUGCUAAGCCUCCGAAAAUCAAACUUCCAAAAGCAUACAACGGAAUUUGGAACAGAUCAAG